CUUUCCUUCGUUCCCCAUGCUCACGCGAGAGGCGCUAGCCAUUCUUUUUCUCCAUUACUGAGUACUCACGCCCAACCUUCACGGCCGAUGAACCACCUCCCCACCCCUCUUUCCUGCUAUGGCCACCCCCUGCGACGCAAAGCCUCCUCUCCUUCCUGAACUCUGUCGUGGCGGAGUCGACGGGGUGCUGCUACGACCCCGAGGGAACGGCCGUGUUUCUGUGGUGAAAUUGCUGGAACCGGGCGCGAGCAAGCUGGAGCCACAGUCGCGGGAUGCUGCAACGGUGCUCGACCGACCCGGCACUGGGAGCUGCUGAAAAGCUUCAACCGUGGUGAAAUUUGUUGAAACCGGCCGCGGGAAAAGCUGGAACCGCGGCCACGAGAUGCUGCAACGGUGCUCUACUCCGCCGGUGAGGAGAUGCAGAAAAGCUACAACCACCAAGCGGCGGUGCUGGAAUCGUGGUGUAGAAAAGCUGCAACCCCCAAGUCAAACAGUGGCAACGGCAAGGCUUUUCUUUUCUUUUGCUGCUGCCGGCGGCGAGGCGUUUUUGCUUGAGCUGGCACCUCAAAUGCACCCCGGUAUUUUUGUUACAUCCGGCAUCGAUUUUUGCUACAUGUGGCAUUGAUUUUUGCUACAUUCGGCAUCGAUUUUUGCUGGAACCAGUUAACUAUCAGAUACGACCGUCAGCGCGGCGGGGCUGCAUCUAACGACAUAAUUUGCUACAUCAGGCGUCGACUUUUGCUGGAACCAGCACCUGCGUUGGAGGGGCACGCGACGCCACCAGACUUGCUGGAACCGGCCGUCGGAAAACAGCGACGGAGGCGAGGGUGAGGUCCAGCUGACCUCCGAGAUGCUACAACCAUUCGUCGAAUAGCUGCGACCGGCCGUCAGAAAGCUGCAAUGGGGGCAUCGGGUUUUGGUUUGCUUGGAACCAGUGCGAGAGCAGGGGGUGGAGCUGGAAACCGGCGUCUCGGGAGCUGCUGGGAUCGUCGUCUCGGUGCGUUUUGCGAAACGGCAGCGAACACCGGAUCCAGAGGCAUCGCGUCGUGCUGGAAUCGGGGGCAACGCCCAUACUGCAAGCAGCCAGCGAGCAUCGCGAGCGCGGCGACGAGGUGGACGAGCCAGCGGUGCUUCAAGGUCGCCGGUGCGUGUCCAUGGCGGGGCCGGCUGCGCUCGCAGUUGGUCAACCCCCACACUCAUGCCGCAUCGAGCGCGUUGACGUGAUUUGUUUUUCCUGCAAGCGGUACGAAACGAGGACGAGGGUGGGACUCAUCUGACGGCUCGGGAAUAACGUAUCCAAGGGCUGCGCGGCGACUGGCCGAAUUUGGGCCGGUCGACCGACGCCUAUCAGUGCCCGAAAAGAAAACGAGUGCCUUCCAAGAGAAAAUGUUUGGCGAGCGAUAGAACGGCUGCACGCUAACGGCUAGUCGGAGGAUAAGGUGACUAGAGCUCCUAUUCUAGGCACCUAUAUCUCGCUUACAUCGACUCGUACCAUAAGGACGCAGUGUAACUGGUCUCGAGCUCAUAUGCUCUUGAUAUCCUGGGCGUUAGCUAAUGCAUAGGGAUAUGGGCCAAUUCUUUAUACAGUUCGUUUUGAAGUGCUGGUAAUUGCGCACUGUGCGGGAAUACGUAUGUGUGUCAGGACGAGAGGUGGGCCAGCUGCUUGGCGGCCGUCUCCGGAUGACGGGCUGAGCCGUGGCCCAGAAUCGUAUUUGUCUGUCUGAUCCGUGGCUUAGAUAUCGCUUUCCGUCAAGGGCGGCAGCCUCGAAACGAAUGCAGACCCACGCUAUUCUUCCCCAACGUGGCCGCCAUUUUCGGUAUCUGAUGAGGGAGAGAGGGAGGAAGUUGGAGAACAGGCGACCAACGCUAAUGGAGUUCCCUAUGCAGCCAAUCAGAAGAUCCACGCUGAUUGAGGAGGUAGGAGAGAGUCUGCUGCCGGAAGGUUCACCGGCGGACGGUGGUGGAGGUGCUGUUUCUGGUCGACACGAGUGUAAGCGGCAAUGGGCGGAUAUGUGUGGCAUCUCUGCACCGGCGGCGAUGAGCGAAGAUGGGCGAAUCUGCAGUAUGGCAGCAGUGUGAAGGGACAACUCGCUUCCAUAUUCUGAGCUCUCUACGGGGAAGAUGAAUCCUCAGACUCCGUGUUGGAGUAAUAGGUUAGGGGAACUAAAUUUAAAAUUUGAUCUGUGCUAUGAAGAAUUUCAGUAAACAUAUUUUCAGUCUGUUUGUGGCCGUGCAGUGUUUGCUAAAUUUUUGGUAUGGCAGUAAUCCAUAGUAUGAUA